AUUGAACGCUGGCGGAAUGCUUUACACAUGCAAGUCGAACGGCAGCACGGACUUCGGUCUGGUGGCGAGUGGCGAACGGGUGAGUAAUGUAUCGGAACGUGCCCAGUCUUGGGGGAUAACGUAGUGAAAAUUACGCUAAUACCGCAUACGAUCUAUGGAUGAAAGCGGGGGAUCGCAAGACCUCGCGCGAUUGGAGCGGCCGAUAUCAGAUUAGGUAGUUGGUGGGGUAAAGGCCCACCAAGCCAACGAUCUGUAGCUGGUCUGAGAGGACGACCAGCCACACUGGAACUGAGACAAGGUCCAGACUCCUACAGGAGGCAGCAGUGGGGAAUUUUGGACAAUGGGCGAAAGCCUGAUCCAGCCAUUCCGCGUGCAGGAUGAAGGCCCUCGGGUUGUAAACUGCUUUUGUACAGAACGAAAAGGUUUCUACUAAUACUAGGAGCUCAUGACGGUACUGUAAGAAUAAGCACCGGCUAACUACGUGCCAGCCGCCGCAGUAA
rnacentral:rRNA from 1 species